rnacentral:rRNA from 1 species
UGCCAGCAGCCGCGGUAAUACGAAGGGGGCGAGCGUUAAUCGGAAUUACUGGGCGUAAAGCGCGCGUAGGCGGUUUGAUAAGCUAGCUGUGAAAGCCCCGGGCUCAACCUAGGAACUGCAGUUAGAACUGUCUGACUAGAGUACAAUAGAGGGUGGCGGAAUUUCCUGUGUAGCGGUGAAAUGCGUAGAUAUAGGAAGGAACAUCAGUGGCGAAGGCGGCCACCUGGAUUGAUACUGACGCUGAGGUGCGAAAGCGUGGGGAGCAAACAGGAUUAGAUA